UACGAAGGGGGCUAGCGUUGCUCGGAAUCACUGGGCGUAAAGCGCACGUAGGCGGCUUUUUAAGUCAGGGGUGAAAUCCUGGAGCUCAACUCCAGAACUGCCUUUGAUACUGAGAAGCUUGAGUCCGGGAGAGGUGAGUGGAACUGCGAGUGUAGAGGUGAAAUUCAUAGAUAUUCGCAAGAACACCAGUGGCGAAGGCGGCUCACUGGCCCGGUACUGACGCUGAGACGCGAAAGCGUGGGGAGCGAACAGG
rnacentral:rRNA from 1 species